GAUGAACGCUGGCGGCGUGCCUAAUACAUGCAAGUCGAGCGAACAGACGAGGAGCUUGCUCCUCUGACGGUAGCGGCGGACGGGUGAGUAACACGUGGAUAACCUACCUAUAAAACUGGGAGAACUUCGGGAAACCGGAGCUAAUACCGGAUAAUAUACUGAUCCGCAUGGUUCAAUAGUGAAAGACGGUUUUGCUGUCACUUAUAGAUGGAUCCGCGCCGCAUUAGCUAGUUGGUAAGGUAACGGCUUACCCAGGCAACCAUGCGUAGACGACCUGAGAGGGUGGCAGGCCCAGCUGGAACUGAGCUACGGUCCAGACUCCUACGGGAGGCAGCAGUAGGGAAUCUUCCACAAUGGGAGAAAGCUUGACGGGGCAACGCCGCGUGAGUGAUGAAGGUCUUCGGAUCGUGAAACUCUGUUAUUAGGGAAGAAGAAAUGUGUAAGUAACUAUGCACGUCUUGACGGUACCUAAUCAGAAAGCCACGGCUAACUACGUG
rnacentral:rRNA from 1 species